rnacentral:rRNA from 1 species
UCAGACGAUGCGUCAUGCAUAUCAAUAAGCGGAGGAAAAGAAACUAACAAGGAUUCCCUCAGUAACGGCGAGUGAAGCGGGAAGAGCUCAAAUUUGAAAUCUUGAAAGGUCACCUUUCACGAAUUGUAGUUUAAAGAAGUGUUUUCUGUUACGAUCGUAAUAUAAGUUCUUUGGAAUAGGACAUCACAGAGGGUGAGAAUCCCGUCUAUGAUUGCGAUUUGUAGCUUUGUGAUACACUUUCAAAGAGUCGGGUUGUUUGGGAAUGCAGCCAAAAACGGGAGGUAAAUUUCUUCUAAGGCUAAAUAUUGGCGAGAGACCGAUAGCGAACAAGUACCGUGAGGGAAAGAUGAAAAGAACUUUGAAAAGAGAGUUAAAUAGUACGUGAAAUUGUCAAAAGGGAAGCGUUUAACACCAGUGUUGUUUUCUGAAAAUCAACCUCUGUUAGCUUUAUGCAUGUUUGUUUAGACCUAAUCAGCUAUCUUGCAUGUUCUAUUGUUUGCAGUGGUGCACUUCUCAGUUUACAGGUCAACAUCAGUUUUUUUUACCGUAAAAAAGUUAAAGAAAGGUAGCUCAUGGCUCCGGUCGUGAGUGUUAUAGUCUUUUUCCUAUGCGGUAGGAGAGACUGAGGUCUGCAGUGUAGGCUAUUUGGCUAGAUACUCAGGUGCUAUGUGAUACCAUUUCAUAAACAACUUGUUGAUUAUGCUUUUGUCUAUUGCAUACUCGCUUGUACUAUCAUACCUACGCUUAGGAUGUUGAAGACUCUACAGAGAUA